CCCUACGGGGUGCACCAGGGAGAGAGGAAGUGCAUGGCCACCCCUAUGGGGUGCAGCAGGCGCGAAAACUUUACAAUGCGGGCAACCGUGAUAAGGAAACCCCGAGUGCCACCACAGGGUGGCUGUCCACCAGUGUAAACAACUGGUGAAGAAAGGGCCGGGCAAGACCGGUGCCAGCCGCCGCGGUAAUACCGGCGGCUCGAGUGGUGGCCGCUUGUACUGGGCUUAAAGGGUCCGUAGCUGGAUAUACAAGUCCCUUGAGAAAUCCGCCGGCUUAACCGGUGGGCGUUCAGGGGAAACUGUAUUUCUAGGGACCGGGAGAGGUGAGAGGUACUGCCGGGUUAGGAGUGAAAUCCUGUAAUCCCGGUGGGACCACCUAUGGCGAAGGCAUCUCACCAGAACGGGUCCGACAGUGAGGGACGAAAGCUGGGGGAGCAAACCGG
rnacentral:rRNA from 1 species